CUCAGAGAAGACUUUCAACUUGAACUUUGACCAAUCUCGGAACUGUUGAGAGACUAUGGGGCCGUUUCAGAAUGGGCUGAAUGUCUUUUGCAUUGUCAAAUGGGUGUGAGCUUUGGGGGGCCAAAGUCAGAAUGUUAUGGCCUUGAUGUCAUGUGUGAGAUAAUGCAAGAAGAUUUGGAGGAACAAUUGGGAUGUAAAAGCCUUAACCUAAUCAGCGAAUCAGUCACCUGAUUGGAUUAAUUGAGUGGUAACUGAAGGCGAGUGGGGUGUGGCUGGAGGAGGUGGGGUACUGGGAGCGUGGCUUUGGGGUAUAUAUUUUGUAUCUGGCAGGUGGUAAUCUCUCUCUUUGCUUCCUGAUCGUCAGUGAGCCACUUCCCUCUGCCAUACUCAUCUGCCAUGAAGUUCAGCCUCACCUUUAGCCCCAAGGAAUGGGACCUGCUGCCUGUGGAUUGAGACCUCUGAAACCGUGAGCCCCUAAAUAAGCUCUUCCUCCUUUAAAUUUGUUCUGGUCAGAUCCUUUAAUCAAAGCAGAAAAAAGCUGACUAAAACAACAUUGUGCUUCCUGGUUGACCAGAAGCUGUUGAUCUUCGUGGGACAGAGGCUCCGCCGGGGUCUCCACUGUGCACCGGUGCCAGUCCCAGGCCCACCUCCACCCUCCUGUCUGUCAUACCAGCUGCUUGCAUGGACUUUGAAGGACACAGGUUUGCACACGUGCCCAGAGGAGGAAAGAGCAAGCGAACGUGAAGACCCAGGACACUACAAGUGGCUGGAGGACUUUGUGGGUGUCACAUGAGGAGUGCAAGGAGCCCGUCUGCCCAAAGCCUCCCUCUCAAUGCCCAUCUAGGCAUCUGAACUCUUAAAGGUUCUUAAAUUUGCCUUCAUGCAAAGGAGGCUUGUGUGGGACGAGCCGUGACAUUGAUGCUUCACCAUCCAGGGAGGCUUCCUGGAAAAGGCAUCUUGGACAGACAAGCAAGAAGGCUCCAAGGGAAGGACGGCGCAUGAACGUGAGAUGUGGGGCCUGCCAUGGUGGAGGAUGGCAGGGCCACCCACCCAAGGAACCCUGAGGCCAGAAGAGGCAAGAGGUGGAGCCCAGCACCCAUGUGACCCCUAGGAGUUGGAGAUUUCUGUCUUCAUGAGGAAAAAAAAAGAAAGGGAGACAAGCUCCCCAGGGAGGAACCAAGGAGAGCCUGGCCCCAGGCCGCCCUUCCAGAAGCAUCUGUGCGGAACUGUGGAGGACUCAUUUUGUUUUGUUUCCAGUACUUCUUGAACAAGUAGUUGUGUAAAUUUGAUUACCAGAAAAAUGAAAUUUCAAAAGAAAUAUAGGACCCAAGUCCCAAAUUUAUUCUCCAAACCUUGUGGUUUUUUUUUUUGGGGGGGGGGGGCGCGGUGAGGUGGAUAAAAUCCAUACUAUACCACCUGCCAUCUUCACCUCUUUAAGUGUCCAGUCCAGUAGUGAGGACAGAGGCAUUUCUGGGUAACCACCUCCAGAACUCUUGCAUUUGGCAAAACUACACUACGCCCCACACGGCUCCCCACUCAUUGCCCAGCCCAUGGCGACCUCCAUUCCCCGUCUCCAUGAAUCUGAUGUCUCUAGGAAUCUCUGGAAUUGUCCACUGCUUGUCCUCUCGUGUCUGGAUUGCUUCAUUAGCACAUCCUCAAGUUUCACCAAAUUGUAACGUGUUAGAAAUUCCUUGCUUUUGAAGACUGAGUCAUAUUCUACUGUUUUAGUUAGAUUUUUUUCACUGUGACCAAAGUACGUGACAAAAACAACUUAGAGGAGGGAAAGCUUAUUUGGGGCUCAUGGUUCCAGAGGCCUCAGUCCUCAGGUGGCCAACUCCAUUGCUCUGGGCCCAAGGUGAGCAGC
rnacentral:lncRNA from 1 species